rnacentral:rRNA from 1 species
UACAGAGGUCUCAAGCGUUGUUCGGAUUCAUUGGGCGUAAAGGGUGUGUAGGUGGCGCGCUAAGUCGGGUGUGAAAUUUCGGAGCUUAACUCCGAAACUGCAUUCGAUACUGGCGUGCUUGAGGACUGGAGAGGAGACUGGAAUUCAUGGUGUAGCAGUGAAAUGCGUAGAGAUCAGGCGGAACACCCGUGGCGAAGGCGGCCAGCUGGGCCGUCCCUGACGCUGAGGCGCGAAGGCGUGGGGAGCGAACGGG